CCAGACUUGCUUCUCUCUAAGAAUGUGGCGUAUCAAUGAGACACAUUGUUUUAAAAACGGGCGUUUUUCUUCGCUCGUAAUAAAUCCCUUCAGGAAUUAAAACGAUUCAGCAUGAUAUUGAACCGGUUUCCCAGAUUGUAUAAUUUAGUCAACAUUCAAACUCUGCGUGGAUUAGUUUCCCACCGAAAAGUGGUCAAACAACCUUAGUCGUUGGUGGCAUCUUCACGCGGUGAAACUUUCAUCCAGCUUCCUCAGUGUCUUGUUGACCAUCAAAAUGAACCAACCUCGAAGGUUCCAUCCGGUUGGUUCUAUUUGUGGCGGUUUUGCUGCAGUUGUUGUUACCAUUGGUGCUAUAGUGAAAUGUUGGUUGAAGUUUUCAGUGGUUUCAGGGUAGUUAGUAAAGCUUUGCUAAACUGAUUGUAGACGACGAUGCUGUUCGAAGUCCGGUUUUGGUUGCACUUUUGAUCAUGUGGCUAAUGUUCUCGAUUCUUCUAAUUGCUGGUAUCAAAAAGAAGAACCCAUCGUACCUGCUAGCUAGCCGUAUGUUGCUGAUUGCAUUCAGUUGGAUAAGCUUGAUUGUCAUAAUUGGCAUAAUGGUUCAAGUUGUGGGCAAUCACAAAAACCACAAGUUUGGCCUGAAAGUGCGUCUUCUUUUAGCAUUUCUAGUGAAUUGCUCUUUUGGAGGAAUCUUCGCCUUAAGUCUGUGGAUAGUCAACGUUGUUAUACAAUAUAUUGUAGACCUGCAGCCAAAACCAUUGAGUCAACAACCAUUGAUGUUGAAAAACGAGGUAGUUUUUCCUCAAAGGAAGUAUUAAGUUUAUCAUAUUUGUCGAUGCUUUUCGAAAAAACUUAAUUUUAAUGAGUUUAACUAUUCCAUCUGUGAAUAUCCCUUACACGAAAUCGGGAAAAGUUGCCCCGACCCCUCUUCGAUUUUCGCGAAACUUUACCCUAAGGGUUAACUGUUGUCCACUUUUGCGUUCCUCACGCGCUCACGCGCUCAUGAGCGCUCACUUUUCGCUCAUUCGUGAGGAGGAGCGCUGCGCGAGCUAGCUCACGUUUGCCCGCGCUCACGUUUGCUCCGAUUUUUUCAGCUCGCGUUUGCUCCACGCUCGCGCUCGCGCUCAUAUUUCGCUCACGGAGCGCUCAUUUUGGACGUAUCGCUAAUCAUUUAACGUUUUUGAGAAAGUUUUUUUUUUUAAUUCUAGAUGGAUUUUUUGCGUAAGGUGCAGUAGGGCUGUGGAAAUAUGACUUUGUGAACAAAUUUUAUGAUAUAUGAAUUGGAAUAGCUUAUUUUCAUCAAUCAUGUUUUUAAAUAAAGGCCUUACUGUAGCAGAGAGGGGCGGAGGGGUAUAGACGCCUAAAUAAAAGGGCCUGUUAAUCUUAGAGUAGGAGUAGGAAUCUCGUAAUCGAGAACGCCAAGGCAAUGCUGUAGAGCGAAUGAUUUGAUUUUUUUUUUUGAAACCUUAGAAAAACUUACAAAACAAUGAAUGGAUUCAAGAGGAUUUAUGCUUUGGUAAGUUCGAUUCAAAGUUAAAUGCUUAGUUGAUUAAAAUAUAACAUUAAACUGUUUUUAUGUACCUAAUCAGUGUUUUGACUACAUUUCCAGAUUGCGGGUCAGAAUGAGCUACCAUUAAAAAAAAUUAUUCCGUUUAUUAAAUCUUUCAGUGAUUCAGUGAUUAGAAACGGCUAAUCAUUUCUAUAAGGUUAGUCUUUAUU